rnacentral:misc_RNA from 1 species
CUCUCAGAUAGCCAAAAUAUAGAUAAUUUUCAGCGAGGGAUCAAUAAGCCUAAAUACAUUAAUUGAUACCAUUUUCAUUUCAUUACAUUUUGGCCCAAGAAUGUAUGGAAUCGUAUCAUUCUCCUUUAGUGCACAAGCUGCUAGCGAGCGAGCGCAUGAACUUGAACAAUCGCCUAGUUAAGCGAGCCGAGAACCGAGAGGAGAGAAUCAAGUGAAAUAGUUGGGCAGCUCUUAAACUACGAUGACGCACGCCGCCGAACAAUGCCGCGGUCAUUAAAAUAGCAUUCCUUCACGAACAUUAUUAUACUCACUGUGCUGCGUACACCACACCACACCGCGCUAAACAGGCUUAGUGGGGCAAAAUAAAAAAUAAAAGAAAAUGUGAAAAGAGAAGAGUAAGAAAGGACGAUAAGAGCCAUAAAAUACAACGAGUCCAUUGUAAAGGAGUCCUGUCCCACACUUCUGUAGGCGCAACAUACUAUCUUCGCUGAACAAAAAGGAUUGAAUACUU